GACGUAGGGGGCCAGCGUUGCUCGGAAUUACUGGGUGUAAAGGGUUCGUAGGCGGUGUGGCAAGUCGGGAGUGAAAUCUCUGGGCUCAACCCAGAGUCUGCUUCCGAAACUGCCGUGCUUGAGUGUGGGAGAGGCGCGUGGAAUUGCAGGUGUAGCGGUGAAAUGCGUAGAUAUCGGGAGGAACACCUGUGGCGAAAGCGGCUCACUGGACCACAACUGACGCUGAUGCACGAAAGCUAGGGGAGCAAACAGG
rnacentral:rRNA from 1 species